GACGGAGGAUGCAAGCGUUAUCCGGAAUGAUUGGGCGUAAAGCGUCCGCAGGUGGCAGUUCAAGUCUGCUGUCAAAGACCGGGGCUUAACUUCGGAAAGGCAGUGGAAACUGAACAGCUAGAGUAUGGUAGGGGCAGAGGGAAUUCCUGGUGUAGCGGUGAAAUGCGUAGAGAUCAGGAAGAACAUCGGUGGCGAAGGCGGCUUUCUGGGCCUUACCUGACGCUGAGACGCGAAAGCGUGGGGAGCGAACCGG
rnacentral:rRNA from 1 species